UGGGGAAUUUUGGACAAUGGGCGCAAGCCUGAUCCAGCCAUGCCGCGUGCGGGAAGAAGGCCUUCGGGUUGUAAACCGCUUUUGUCAGGGAAGAAAUCUUCUGAGUUAAUACCUCGGGAGGAUGACGGUACCUGAAGAAUAAGCACCGGCUAACUACGUGCCAGCAGCCGCGGUAAUACGUAGGGUGCAAGCGUUAAUCGGAAUUACUGGGCGUAAAGCGUGCGCAGGCGGUUUUGUAAGACAGAGGUGAAAUCCCCGGGCUCAACCUGGGAACUGCCUUUGUGACUGCAAGGCUUGAGUGCGGCAGAGGGGGAUGGAAUUCCGCGUGUAGCAGUGAAAUGCGUAGAUAUGCGGAGGAACACCGAUGGCGAAGGCAAUCCCCUGGGCCUGCACUGACGCUCAUGCACGAAAGCGUGGGGAGCAAACAGGAUUAGAUAGCCCUGGUAGUCCACGCCCUAAACGAUGUCAACUGGUUGUUGGGAGGGUUCCUUCUCAGUAACGUAGCUAACGCGUGAAGUUGACCGCCUGGGGAGUACGGCC
rnacentral:rRNA from 1 species